rnacentral:rRNA from 1 species
UACGUAGGGGGCAAGCGUUGUCCGGAAUCAUUGGGCGUAAAGCGCGUGUAGGCGGCUCGGUAAGUCCGCUCUGAAAGCCCGGGGCUCAACCCCGGGAGGCGGGUGGAUACUGCUGAGCUCGAGUCCGGAAGAGGAGUGUGGAAUUCCUGGUGUAGCGGUGAAAUGCGUAGAUAUGUGGAGGAACACCGAUGGCGAAGGCAGCCCCCUGGGUCAAGACUGACGCUCAUGCACGAAAGCGUGGGGAGCAAACAGG